GACGAACGCUGGCGGCGUGCUUAACACAUGCAAGUCGAACGGAAAGGCCCUGCUUUUGUGGGGUGCUCGAGUGGCGAACGGGUGAGUAACACGUGAGUAACCUGCCCUUGACUUUGGGAUAACUUCAGGAAACUGGGGCUAAUACCGGAUAGGAGCUCCUGCUGCAUGGUGGGGGUUGGAAAGUUUCGGCGGUUGGGGAUGGACUCGCGGCUUAUCAGCUUGUUGGUGGGGUAGUGGCUUACCAAGGCUUUGACGGGUAGCCGGCCUGAGAGGGUGACCGGGCACAGUGGAAAAGGGGAAGGGCGAGGAGGCCAACGGCAGGAAGGGGGGGGAAGAUUGCGCAAUGGGGGGGAGUCAGAUGGAGCAACGCCGCGAGCGGGAUGAAGGGCUAUGAGUGAAAAACAAAUUUCGAAGGAAAAGAAGAGGGAGUGACGGUAAUGGGUAAAAAAGCAACGGCUAACUACGUG
rnacentral:rRNA from 1 species